rnacentral:rRNA from 1 species
UUGGAGGGCAAGUCUGGUGCCAGCAGCCGCGGUAAUUCCAGCUCCAAUAGCGUAUAUUAAAGUUGUUGCAGUUAAAAAGCUCGUAGUUGAAUUUCGGGACCAAUUUGUUGGUCGUGCCUCGGUACGUACUGGUAUUAUUGGUUUCUCCCUUCUGAAGAACCUUGAUGUCAUUAAUUUGGUGUCUUGGGGAAUCAGGACUGUUACUUUGAAAAAAUUAGAGUGUUUAAAGCAGGCAUACGCUUGAAUACAUUAGCAUGGAAUAAUGAAAUAGGACGUUUGAUUCUAUUUUGUUGGUUUCUAGGAUCGACGUAAUGAUUAAUAGGGAUAGUUGGGGGCAUUAGUAUUCAAUUGUCAGAGGUGAAAUUCUUGGAUUUAUUGAAGACUAACUACUGCGAAAGCAUUUGCCAAGGAUGUUCUCAUUAAUCAAGAACGAAAGUUAGGGGAUCGAAGACGAUCAGAUACCGUCGUAGUCUUAACCAUAGACUAUGCCGACUAGGGAUCGGAUGAUGUUAAUUUUUUAAUGACUCAUUCGGCGCCUUACGGGAAAC